UCCUGGGUUCGAAUCUCGGUAAGGGCAUUUAUUUGUGUGGUGAGCACAGAUAUUUGUCCCUGAGUCAUGGUUGUUUUCUAUGUAUUUAAGUAUUUAUAUAUUAUAUAUAUCGUUGUCUAAGUACCCACAACACAAGCUUCAUUGAGCAUACCGUGGGACUUAGUCAAUUUGUGUAAUAAUGUCCUAUAAUAUGUCGUUUUUGAUAUUUACCAGCCGCUUUUCGGUGAAGGAAAACAUCGUGAGGAAACCGGACUAAUCCUAACAAGGCCAUGUUCCCCCUCUGUGUUGGAAGGUCAGAUGGCAGUCGCUUUCGUAAAAACUAGUGCCUACGUCAAUUCUUAGGAUCAGUUGUCAAGCGGACCCCAGGCUCCCAUGAACCGUGGCAAAAUGCCGGGAUAACGCGAGGAAGAUGAUGAUGAUAUGAUUAAAUUAAAUUAAAUCGCGUUAGACCCGUUAAUGACAUUAAUCACGUAUACCAAACCAACCUAUGUUCUAAUCGUUCCCUGUAAUAUUCUCCUCUGGUCAAUAAUGCUUUGGGGUGUCAAAGAUGUCAGUCGUUUGCAUAAAACGAGACCAAACUCUAAGAUAAACCGUAAAUAAUUAAAUUAAAUUAAAAUUAAAUUAUCGUUUAUUUCGAGCUCAUGGCUCAUAAAAUGUCAGUACUUACAAUAAAACGUAAAAAACUAUGUUAGUGACAGUAAUAAUUUCUUAACUAAAUUUACAGUUACUAUACACUGUUACUGGGCUUGUGAAGCCCACAACAGUGUAUUAUGUACGGACAAUCCAUUCUAUCCGCGAUCAUAGACAGGAUGGUGUUGGGGCUGGCGCGCACGCGCCGUACUAGCGACGCGGCUCGCAGGCGCAUUGCUGCUUUAAAACAGGUUACGCGCGCCUCAGCGAACAUUUGUGAGGCGCUGCAAAAGCGCGGCAGCCCCAUCAACACCCGGAACGCAUUAUUAUAUUGAACUAUAAAUAAAUAAUGUAUGGAAAUGAUAGCGUUUCGUUUCGUUUUAUGCAAACGAUUUUCAUCUGACCCCCUGGUCAAUAUCUCCGCGAAUAAUAAUUUACAUUAAUCUAAAAGGGAACAAUCAGCGUGGCAAUCAUCGAAUCAAUCGAAUAGGGAUUAGUUACUUAUAGGACAGUGGUUCCUAACCUGGGGGUAAUUACCCCCGUGGGGGUAAAACUGGCAUUUUACGGGGGUACCUAUCUAUAAGAAAAAAUAUUAGGUAAUGAUUAUGGAGGAGGGGUAAAAUCGAGUUCCCUAGUUAGCCAAAGGGGUCACAGUACUGAAAAGGUUAGGGACCACUGCUAUAGGAUAAUAUUUUACUUAUUUGAAAAAUAGGUAAGUAAGUUUGAUAUUGUGAAUAGCUUUAAAUCAUCGAGUCAAUUUCGGAUGACGUCUCCGAUACUAAAAAUUAUAAUGUGUGUUCCAUAUGUGCCUUGCUUUUACAAAAUGGUCAAAAAAGGACCUAUUGGACCCUUUUGCGGUACUAUGUGUAGUUUCUAAAGGUGCCAGGAUAUUUUGAAUCUCAUGGCACUUUCUCUAUGUCAGGUACUUAAGUUGAGCAUCGAAUAACAUUGGUGUUAUAUUUGCUGUACGGUCGAGGACAUUCCCGGUGAACCACUUCAGAUUUUUUUUACCUCGAUCCUUACGAGCGAGCUAAACUCCUCCCAUAGAGAUAACCAAUUACGAUGCAUUUAGGAUUCUUUGUUAAUAAUGAAAAGGGUUUUAAACAGGUAAUGAGACAAACAAUUAGUAUAAGGACAGUUUAUUCGUUGUUGUUUAGGCUAAGCUUCGCCUCCCCAUAAAGAUAACCAACUAGGAUGUAUUUUGGAUUCCUUUCCUUAGUUUGCAAAUGCCGCCCGUCACAAAGACAAUGCACGGCAAUAAACUUUACCUGAGCUAACCUUUUUCUUUCAACACCCACUUUUGUAAGUGCAAUGCUAUUGGUCAUCACUCUAAUGAUACCGCCUGACCGUCUGCAAGACGUUUAAACGAUUUUUGCAGUACAUAUGGUGCUACUUUCUCGCACUAGUGCGUCAAAUAGCACUUUUCGUGCAUAUGUCGAAAGUUUAAAGGGCCAUAUGUACUGUAAAACGUUGUACGAUACACGUGCGAAUAGGUAAUUCGCAACUCUUGUCGAUUUAAAACACUCCCUGCGGUCGUGUUUUAAUUUAUCGCCACUCGUUUCGAAUUUCCUCUUUUCCGCACUUGUAUCGUAAAUAACUAUUGCCGUUAAGGUGGUUCACCGGGACUGUCCCCGAUUGUACUUAUAUGUACCUAUUAAACUAUGUUUAUAUAUACAUAAUUAUACUAAAAUUCCAAUCACCUAGCGUUUAGUAGGUACGGUUAAGGAAAUUAACCCUCUAAGGGCAUGUCGUAAAAAGUUAUUUGUUUUUAUUUGAAAUUUAACAUGUCAAUAGAGUUCAAUGUUAUAAUAUAACUGCCAUAUACCUCAUCCUCCCGCUGCUUCGUAUGAACUAGAGAAUUAAAAUGAGGUCCCUAGCGACUUUCAUAUUGAUUGUCACUUGUCACUGUGACAAGGUAUUAUGGAUCCUCUACACGAUGGCCCAGCGCUGGACCAGCGAGAUGCCCAUGCGAUGGUUAUUAUUUAUUUAAAUUAUUUACACGGCAUCGCAGCAUAGGCCAAUACACCGAAUAAUUAAACUAGUUACAGGUAUACAAAUUACAAAUACAAAAAAUAUAUAAAGUAAAAUACAAAUAGUCAAGUCAAAUGCAAGUGCUGGAAAGCCUAUCAUCCUUCAUCUCACAAAACCUCAGACACUCCUGGCACACAUUCGCCCAUCUCCACGCAAACAAGUCGCACUCUGGUGCUGAUGUCA